CUCUUAUGCUCUUACUGCUUACUCUCUUAUUUGUCUCCAUCUUACCCCUCACUCUCCCCCUCUCUCCUCUCUCUUUGUCUUCUCUUCUCUCUCCUUUCUCUUUGUCCUCUCCUCUCUCCCUUACUCUCUUUCUCUCUAGCCUCUCUCUCUCUCUCUCCCUCUCUCUCUCUUCUCUCUUUCCCCCUGCAUUUCUAUAAUAAAGCUCUUAAACCAUAGAGAGUCUCUGCUCAUCAAGGCUGCGCACACUCUCGCAGGUGUUGGGAACCUCUUCCCUCAUCCCUCUCUCCUAUAACCCCAGAGCUUUAUUUAGCAAGGUAGCUCUGGGAAUCCCAGGUAGGGCUGCCCCUUUGGCCAUGCCCUGAAGAGUAGGAUAGAGGAAUGCCCACCCAGGGAAAAGUAGAAAGGUAAUUGGCAGCUUCCCAUGCCUGACUGACCAGAGAAUAGGUGGAACUCUGGUGGGGUAUGAGUCUUUUCCCUUCCCCUGGCCCCACUUUUUAGUUCACAACAUGCCACAAUCAAGCAUCACGACUGCUCACUGGCUUUUACCUCUGCUACUCUUUCACAUAUGGCCCAUCUGAGUCUUAAGAAGUAGAGCCCAUUUUCAGGUCAGAAGCUGAAAAGUAUAAGCCAACCAGAACACAGGGAUCCUGAAAACAAAAGAACAAGCAAGCAAGCACACAAAAAAGAAACCAGAAGACAUUCACAAACUUAUAUUUUUAUUGAAAAUCAUUUUCAGAGAGCACAGGCUAAAGAAGCUGCCACCAUCUUUAAUGUUAACAAUGUGGAAGAAAUUCUAGAUCUCAACUUUUUGUGUAAUAAUUUCCUCAAACUGGAACAACUCUCAUGGAGGGAAAUGUGAAAAAUACUCCAAGGCCCCUCCCCACAGCUAGAGAAGCAAUUGCUUGGAAAAGAAGCUUCCCCAACAUGUAGAGCUGCCUGCUGGUCAUGCAGAGACUCCAGCAGUGCAAUAUUUGCUGUCAACACCCAGGCUGAGGUGGGAUUUUCAGUGAUGCAGUUGCCUAUACUUAUAGUCGCCUAUAAGUAACCACUCAUGUUCCGGGACCCACGUGGGCUCAUGAUGUACUGCUCAGAUUUCUUUUUCAGAAACUGAAACCCUCCAGGUAAAAUAGAAUUGAAAUCACACUGUUAUGACUAUCAAUCCCCUGGUCUUUGAGAAGUCACUUAAAAAUGAGCACCGGACAGCAGCCUACCAAAAAAAGGCACAAGGGAAAUGGCAAACAAUAUGAAUCAACAGCAGAACAGAUGGCAGGAACAGCUGGGGCGUGACAGCCAUCCUCAGAACAUAGUGUCCCUCUUCCUCAUGUAGGUUGUGUCAUCUUAUGCCACUCUGGCAGAGAAACAGGCCAGAGUUCACUGUGUCCCUCAGAAAGUGAUGUUCACUAGUUGCCUGCCCUUGUAAGUAAAGCCUUCUCCUUGGAGUAGCUCAUGAUCCCAUUGCUACAUCUUCACUGGGAGUUCAUAGCUACACUCUGUCCUCGUUUCCCACUCCUUUUUAUGCAAGAAAUUGAAGUCAAAAUUGGAUGCUAGCAGCUGGGUGUGUACAAAAACCUGGGCACUUGGUUUUGCACAGAUCCACAUAGCUUGCUUAAUAGCAUAAAAAUAUUUUUAAAUGAUACUCAUUGUUGGGUUUUUGGUUUUGAUUUUUUUUACCAUUUCUCAUAUAAAAAUUGGACAAAGGUUAAUCAGUAUAAUAUUAUUAUUUGAUAAUUUUAUACAUGUAUACAAUCUAUUUUGAUUAUAUUCACCCCCAACUCUUCCUCUUAACUCCUUCCAGAUCCACCCCCACCCUGAGCACUUCCUACCAACUUCUUGAUCUCUUUUUUUUUUUUAAUACAGUCAAGCAAUUCGCACUGCCCUUAUACUCCGGAGUGUGGAGCCAUCUACUUGAGUAUUUCAGUAGCCAUACACUUAAAGUAGAUUGACUCUCUUUCACUGAGGAACCAUCGGCUGUCAGUGGCUCCUCAACGAGGAGUGGGAGCUUCUUCAAGAGUGUUGAUUGGCUUGGUCUUGUAUCAGUUUUGAGUAGGUAACCAAAGUUGCUCUGAGUUCAUGAGUACUGCAAUUCUGCUGUGUCUGCAAAACACUGCUUUACGUCAGUCAUCCACUUUCUCUUUCCAUACAGUCUUGCUGUCUCUUCUUCCAGUGAGUUUUCCACAAACACUUUUGCUCUCUGUACCUUGACCACUUGUGGGUUUCAGCACAUACACACAUAUAUGUGCAUGUGUUCAGGACGGGCUACUUGGAAUUGGGCAAGCAAUGUAGGUGCUCAUCCCCAGAGGAAACUGAUUCUCUGUCUUUGAGCAGUCAUUGACCUAGAGCUCUUCAUCUAGGGCUAAGAGCCCUAGAUAUAUAUGCUCACAUAUACAUACAUAUUACACAUAUUUUUAUUGGUUAUUUAUUUGUUUACAUUUCAGAUGUUAUCACCCUUCCCGGUUUCUCCUCAGUCAAACACUAUCCAAAUCCCCUUCCCCCUGCUUCUAGGAGUGUGUUCCCUACCCACUCCCAUCACAGCCCUAGCAUUCCCCUACUCUGGGGUAUCAAGCCUUCACGGGAUUAAAUAAUCUUAUAAAAUAAUAUAUUUCCCUGUGGCUUUUUAGAAACUGCCUUAGUGUUAUUCACUUUCCCCUUUCCCUCUUAUACUCACAGAAGUGUAAUUCUCAUCAAAGAAGCACCCUUUCAGAACACAUAUAGACUAGUACAAAGAUGUACAACUGGUCAAAAGUUAGACAAUAAGUGACUUUGGGGUGCUAACUCCAAUCAAUACAUCUGCAAUGCAAUGCCCACACCUAAGUCUGAGGGAAAAUCAAAGGUGGGGGAGAGGGCUAGUGAAAUUUGUAAGAUCCAGAGGAAAAGGAUGCCUGGUGCUAAAUAAUGCCUCAUGUGAAAUACCAACAAUAUAAUUGCCUGGAGAACAAGAUGAACAUUGCAACACCAGUUGACAUGCCAAUGUGGAAGGAGGAAAUGCCAGAUCCUCUCAAUUAGUUGUGGGGGUUCCAUAAUAAUAAAAGAAAGUCAUGAAUGUGAGGUGGAGGGGCUAGAAGAGGACUUGGUUCAAGGAAGGAGUGAGAAUGAUGUAGAUGGAGAGCUCAUGGAUGAAGUUCACAAAAAUAAAUAUUUUUUUAAAGUU
ensembl:lincRNA Gm31747 predicted gene, 31747